rnacentral:piRNA from 1 species
UACUCGUUAUACUCGCCCAACUCC